rnacentral:rRNA from 1 species
UAACCUGCCCAAGAGAUCGGGAUAACACCUGGAAACAGAUGCUAAUACCGGAUAACAACAGAUGAUGCCUAUCAACUGUUUAAAAGAUGGUUCUGCUAUCACUCUUGGAUGGACCUGCGGUGCAUUAGAUAGUUGGUAGGGUAACGGCCUACCAAGGCGAUGAUGCAUAGCCGAGUUGAGAGACUGAUCGGCCACAUUGGGACUGAGACACGGCCCAAACUCCUACGGGAGGCAGCAGCG